rnacentral:rRNA from 1 species
ACAAAGAAGAGUUUGAUCCUGGCUCAGGAUGAACGCUAGCGAUAGGCUUAACACAUGCAAGUCGAGGGGUAACAGAUCUUCGGAUGCUGACGACCGGCGAACGGGUGAGUAACACGUAUGCAACUUACCCAUAACUCGGGAAUAGCCCAAAGAAAUUUGGAUUAAUACCCAAUAAUACAGGCGUACCGCAUGGUAUUCUUCGUUAAAGAAUAAUCGGUUAUGGAUAGGCAUGCGUUCUAUUAGGUAGUUGGUGAGGUAACGGCUCACCAAGCCGACGAUGGAUAGGGGAACUGAGAGGUUGUCCCCCCACACUGGUACUGAGACACGGACCAGACUCCUACGGGAGGCAGCAGUGAGGAAUAUUGGUCAAUGGACGAAAGUCUGAACCAGCCAAAUCGCGUGAAGGAAGAAGGUAUUAUGUAUCGUAAACUUCUUUUGUAAGAGAGUAAAGUGCACUACGUGUAGUGUAUUGCAAGUACCUUACGAAUAAGCAUCGGCUAAUUCCGUGCCAGCAGCCGCGGUAAUACGGAAGAUGCAAGUGUUAUCCGGAUUUAUUGGGUUUAAAGGGUGCGUAGGUGGUCUAAUAAGUCAGUGGUGAAAUCUCUUUGCUUAACAAGGAAAUUGCCAUUGAAACUGUUAGACUUGAGAAUGGACGAGGUAGGCGGAAUUCGUAGUGUAGCGGUGAAAUGCAUAGAUAUUACGAAGAACUCCAAUAGUGUAGACUGCUUACCAGACCAUAUCUGACACUAAGGCACGAAAGUGUGGGUAUCAAACAGGAUUAGAUACCCUGGUAGUCCACACAGUAAACGAUGAAUACUAACUGUUUGCGAUAUACAGCAAGUGGUCGAGCGAAAGCGUUAAGUAUUCCACCUGGGAAGUAUGCCGGCAACGGUGAAACUCAAAGGAAUUGACGGGGGCCCGCACAAGCGGAGGAACAUGUGGUUUAAUUCGAUAAUACGCGAGGAACCUUACCCGGGCUCGAACGAUAUUUGAAUACAUCCGAAAAGAUGUAGCUAGCAAUAGCAAAUACCGAGGUGCUGCAUGGUUGUCGUCAGCUCGUGCCGUGAGGUGUCGACUUAAGUGUCAUAACGAGCGCAACCCUUACCGAUAGUUACCAUCAGAUAAUGCUGGGGACUCUAUUGGGACUGCCACCGUAAGGUGUGAGGAAGGAGAGGAUGACGUCAAAUCAGCACGGCCCUUAUGUCCGGGGCGACACACGUGUUACAAUGGGAGAAACAAAGGGUCGCUACCUGGCAACAGGAUGCUAAUCUCGAAAAUCUCUCUCAGUUCGGAUUGGAGUCUGCAACUCGACUCCAUGAAGCUGGAUUCGCUAGUAAUCGCACAUCAGCCAUGGUGCGGUGAAUACGUUCCCGGGCCUUGUACACACCGCCCGUCAAGCCAUGGAAGCUGGAAGUACCUGAAGUAUGUAACUGAAAAGAGCGUCCUAAGGUAAAAUCAGUAACUGGGGCUAAGUCGUAACAAGGUAGCCGUACCGGAAGGUGUGGCUGGAACACCUCCUUUCU